GGCAAGCGCUCGGCACUACACGGGACAGGCCGGCCGGGUGAGUGUGCUUUCUGUUCCACUGUGCAGCAGCGCUCGCCGUCGUAAGCCACAGGGGCGCACGCAGGUGAAUGGGCAUUCGCGAUGUAAGCCUGGAGUUGCGGAACAGCCAAGCAGCAGUCGCUUCCUUGACGAUGGUGUGCCAUCUCUGAAACGACUGGGACGUCAGCAGAAGAAACGAGUGAGCUGCGAUCAAUCACGGAGUGCGACAAGACGGCUGCUGCCAGGAAUCGAACGCGGACCCGUCGCCUUGCUGGAGAUGUAUGUGACGUGAAGCG